rnacentral:misc_RNA from 1 species
GAUGAAGAACGUAGCGAAAUGCGAUACUUGGUGUGAAUUGCAGAAUCCCGUGAACCAUCGAGUCUUUGAACGCAAGUUGCGCCCGAAGCCACUAGGCCGAGGGCACGCCUGCCUGGGCGUCACACGCCGUUGCCCCCCCAUCUACUCCUUCGGGAUUGCGGGGGGGCGGAUGAUGGCCUCCCGUGCGCCUAGCCGCGCGGUUGGCAUAAAUACCAAGUCCUCAGCGACGCACGCCACGACAAUCGGUGGUUGCGAAACCUCGGUUGCCCGUCGUGUGCGUUCGUCGCGCAUCGAGGGCUCGAAAAAAUGCUCGGCUCCGGCUGGGCUUUCAACGCGACCCCAGGUCAGGCGGGGUUACCCGCUGAAUUUAAGCAUAUCAAUAAGCGGAGGA